AAGGACUCCGCUUUCGGUGGAGAGCGUACACAGGUGCUGCAUGGCUGUCGUCAGCUCGUGUCGUGAGAUGUUGGUUAAGUCCCGCAACGAGCGCAACCCCUGCAUUCAGUUGCCAUCGGGUGAAGCCGGGCACUCUGGAAGGACUGCCAUCGACAAGAUGGAGGAAGGUGGGGACGACGUCAAGUCAUCAUGGCCCUUAUGUCCAGGGCGACACACGUGCUGCAAUGGCCGGCACAACGGGAAGCGAGUUCGCGAGGACGAGCGGAUCCCUUAAAGCCGGUCGCAGUUCGGAUUGAAGUCUGCAACUCGACUUCAUGAAGCUGGAAUCGCUAGUAAUCGCAGAUCAGCCAAGCUGCGGUGAAUACGUUCCCGGGCCUU
rnacentral:rRNA from 1 species